GAAGGGAGGGGGAUAAAUACUCUUCCUUUCGUGUUUUGAUAUCUUGUUGUUUUGCUACUCUCACUUUGGAGUUCGGAUGGUGUCUAGCAACGUUGGGUACCUCGUUUCUUGUGUGAGCGAGUGGUUGCUGUUUACGACGUGUUCAUAUAUCGAUUUGUAGUGCUGUAAUGUGCAAAUUAGCGGACUUUAUAGCGGCUCUCUAUUUUCGGUCGUUGUCUUUCGAGCAGCGCCUAUUGUUCCGGUAAAAAUCGAGUUGAAUGAAUCGCCACAGCCCCAACGUAUAUCGCGCAGUGUUGACCAAGACCAAGUCAAGCAGGAAUUCUGGCAUGGUAUGUGGCUGCACGGAGGAUAAGAAAAACAACAACAUGGCUAAUAGGAUGUUGCUGCCCAGGGAGUCCUGGCCGAAGAGGUUUACUCAUUCCAGAAGCAAGAAUUGUACAAUUGUAAGGCGAAUGGAAAUAAACUGACAUCGACUGAGAUA